rnacentral:lncRNA from 1 species
AAUUUUUAAAACAAACCAGAUGCUCCGCAGGGCGUAGCUUUAUACGACCGCAGAGGUUGAAACCUGAACAGUUGGGGCAAGUAUGGACACAACAUUCAAGCUGGAUUCAGCUCUAAAUUUGGAUUGUGAUUAAAUAGUUGACACAGCAUAGGUUUCUGACACAGAAUGAAUGUGUUCUAAUGAACUUAAAAUUUUUGUUUUCUCUUAGAGCAAUUAACUAUGCUGUUGAAUAUUAAUCCUCUCAAAAAAAUGUUUGAAGAAAUUUUCUUUUUAAUUUAUGAAAUUUCAAAUGAGAAAAAUUGAACCCAAUUUUUUUAAUCACAUCCCCCUUUCCUUUAUUCCAAAACUAAUCUCAAUUAAAAUUUCUAAUGGAGUUUGCAACAAUAACUACUCAUUUAAAUACAUCAUAAAAUAUUAAGAUGUAAAAAAACUGCUUGUUAUCACUGAAUGGUAAAGAUUAUU